rnacentral:rRNA from 1 species
CCUACGCGAGGCAGCAGUUGGGAAUAUUGCACAAUGGGGGAAACCCUGAUGCAGCAACGCCGCGUGAGUGAUGACGGCCUUCGGGUUGUAAAGCUCUGUCUUCAGGGACGAUAAUGACGGUACCUGAGGAGUAAGCCACGGCUAACUACGUGCCAGCAGCCGCGGUAAUACGUAGGUUGCGCGCUUUGUCCGGAUUUACUGGGCGUAACGGGAGCGUAGGGGGACUUUUAAGUGAGAUGUGAAAUACUCGAGCUCAACUUGCGUGCUGCAUUUCAAACUGGAAGCGUAGAGUGCGGGAGAGGAGAAUGGAAUUCCUAGUGUAGCGGUGAAAUGCGUAGAGAUGAGGAAGAACACCAGUGGCGAAGGCGAGUCUCUGGACUGUAACUGACGCUGAGGCUCGAAAGCGUGGGGAGCAAACAGGAUUAGAUACCCCAGUAGUC